rnacentral:lncRNA from 1 species
UUUUCCUUUAUUUCCUUUCCUUUUCCCUUCUUUUUCCAUUCGCUUAUUUCCGACAUUUGUGUUUCUUUGAUUGUGAUGUUGAUUCUGAAAGAGGUGUAUGAAAGAAAAUAAAAAUGGCUCAAAAGGGGUCACAACUGAAAAACGUGUUUUGAUAGCAGAACAGAAUGCCUUCAUCAUUUCAACCCUCAAAAUAUGCCAAGUACAAACAAGUACAAUCAGAAUAAAGAAAACAUACACAUCAUCUAUUGACCGCAUUGGAAUUGACGACCAUUUUCAUAGAUUUUCCUUCUAUGUCUGUUAGAUGUAAUGUGUCAUUAGGCCACACUGUUACUCUUAAUACCACGACCGGCCCCCUAUUAAUUUGGCCAAUUUUUGUGGGGAUUUUUUUAAUGUUUUACUUGCCCUAGUUUCACAUGGUUCGGGCGUCAAACAAUCUCACAACGUCCAAAUCUAUUCCUAUUUCCUCAAGUGCCCUCAUCAUUUAAAUAAUGGUUUCAUUGAUUCCCGACUAACAUAGCUUUUAAAGAUCUGACUAAUAAUUAUGCGUGCAUGUCAUGUCACUAGAACCAGCAUGAAAAGAAUUAUAGAAACAAAAGAGAACUAAACGAAAAUAACUAGAAAUGGCAGAAAACAGAGAAUUGUAUUAAACUGUAUAGUGAAAAGGUUUAACAAUGCAACAAGCAACACAAACUGGGGUACAAUCCUAAAAAAACCUAGAUAACACUACAUAAGAUAUGAAGACUAGACAAAUAAAAGGAUAGAAGGGUUUGGUUCACAAGACAAAAUCCGGAUUACAACCCUGAAAAUAACCCGGACAACAUAAAUGACAACAAAAUAAACCACCAAGACUUCUCUCUAGCUGGCCAAGAGAUGAAGCAUUUUUUCCAAUUACCAAGCUCGGCAUCUUAGCCACUGAGUUCUGCAUCAAUAUUGCCAAGAUCAUUGCCAACUUUGAUAUCAUCAACUUCAGUUUACAAGUUCCCAAGAGGAUUCACAUGCUCCUUAUCACUGUCAUUAACAACAAUUACCCCUUCUUGAAUCAUUCUUUCUAUUUCCCUUUUCAUAUCCUGACAAUUCUCCACAUUGUGCCCCAGAGCAUUGGAGUGGUAUUCACACCUUUUAGAUGAGUCAAAGCUUCUCACACGUCAGUCCACCCGAUUUUGAGGAAUGGGUGCAAUCAUGUCAUGUUGUUUUAACUUCUCAAAUAGGCUUGCAUAGGACACUCUUAUUGGGGUAAAACUAUCUUUCAGCUUUUGUUCCCUUCUAUACCCCUGGCUUGGAUGUGGGUUAUAAGGUACUUGGAAAUUUUGCGGAGGUGGGUGGAGAUUUGGUGAUACUUUUGUUCCCUUCAAUACCCCUUGCUUGGAUGUGGGUUAUAAGGUAAUUGAAAAUUUUGUGGAGGCUGGUGGAGAUUUUGUGACACUCGUGCUCGCUUCUUAGGUGAUUUGAUGGCUGGGCAACAUACUGGGAAGGAUCAACAGAGUAUGGGGGGUUCAGAGGUGGAUAGUAAUGCUGAGGGGGGUUAUAGAAAACCUGAUGAGGCUGCACACACCUUCAAGAUGUUCUACUAGGAUCUCUUCUCGACCCUGAUAUCAUCAUAAGUUUUUCACCCCUCUCAUUUGUGUUACCAGAUUCAAUUUGGACACUUCUCGACCCUAAUAUCAUCAUGAUUUCUUCAUCCCUCUCAUUCCUGUUACCAGAUUCAAUUUGGACAGCCUGAGCUGUAGCUUUGAGAGCUGUUUGACUUAUAAUUAUGCAUGUCUUAAGACCGUUCUCCACCAUUUCUCCCAUUUUGAUUGCUUCCGAGAAGGAUUUACCCACUGCAGACGUCAUGUAUUGAAAGUAAUCUGGUUGUUGAUCCUGUAUAAAGACAGUGAUUAACUCGUGGUCAUCCAUGGGUGGCUUAGCUCUAGUGUCAUGCUCUCUCCAUUUGAUGGCAUAUUCCCUGAAACUUUUAGUUGGUUUCCUUUUCAGGAUAGAAAGGAAAAUGUGGUCUGGGGCGAUGCCGAUGUUGUAUCGGAACUAUUUGACAAAGGCCCGUUCCAUGUCAUCCCAGACGUACCAUCAAGAUGUGUCUUGAUCCAAAAAUCAUUCAUAUGCUACUCCCGUGAGGCUUUCUCCAAAAUAAGCUAUAAGCAAUUCUUCAUUUUCUCCCACGCCUCUCAAUUGGUUGCAAUACCUUUUCAGGUGGGCUAUGGGGUUUUCAUGUCCAUUGUACCUUUAAAAUUUGGGAACCUUGAAUCUAGGAGGCAACUGGACAUCGGGGAACAUACAUAGAUUUCUGAAGGCAAUACUCUUUUGACCUGCCAUUGCUUGAGUGUUUUUCAGCUGUUGUUCUUAUCUUUUCACUCUUUGGGCUAUUUCUUCUUGUACCCUCUUUCGGGUAGGCUUCUCGAUGUUUGCAUGAAGAUCAAAUGAGUACGACUCGUACACGGGAGAGUGGUACUAUUCUCGCUGUGCAGCAAAUCGUGACUCGUGACAAGGCUGUCCAUUGGCCCAGGCUUGACGCAUUUUGGUCAAUUGUUGUUUCAGUGUUCUAUUUUCCUCAACCACAGUAGACCCUUGUUAAACCCUCUAACCCUGAGUCUCGAUGUUAGUUAUCAUUUUCCUCGGAUCUUGUGUUUCCAGCUGACCACAACCAACCACCUCAACUUUCUUCACUAUUCAAAACAAAACAUGUUAACAUGGAUUGAGUCGUUCCGCAUUAUUAACAACAUAUUUUUUAUUUUUUUUAUUCAGUUCUUCUUUUCCAUUUUUCAUCAUCCUUUUUUUUUUGUGGUCGAAUCUUAUGCAGAUUUCUUACAUAUCAUGACCCCGCAUGAAUCAGACCGUAUGUAGUUCUUGCAAAUAAAAGAUAAACAAUCAAUAAAAGAUUUUUUGAAAUUUUCAAUUUUCAUAAUAAAACUAACUCUGAAUACAAAUGUUUAAAAACCGACAAACUUAAUCAAACAGCCUCUGAAAUAUAGACUCAAAAGCAAACGACCUACACACUCAAAUCGAAAGAAAUACAAACUUAAAAACAAACUGAUAGAUUCCUUUCCCUAUAUACCAAUUUUGAACAAACAACUAUUUAUGGCAUGACCCGACUUAUUUAUAAUUCUUUCUUGUUUUUUCAUAUUUAAAAUAAAUGACCCGAUGAUGCAAAUACGGCCUUCUAGCGCCUCGGGAUGAAUAUUUUAAUGCUAUGAGGGUCAAAAAUCAAAACAUGACCGAAGGUGGCUAUUUAUGCAAAGUCAGCCUUUCGGCGCCCCUUUCAGGAACAUUCAGCCAUUUUUUGAAAAAACGGCAUCACCCGACUUAUUUUUGACUCAUUUUCUUGUUUUUUUUGUUUUUUUUCAAAUUAAAAUAAAUGACCCGGUAUUCCAAACACGGCCUUCCAGCGCCCCGGGGACAAAGAUUUUAUGGCUGUGUGGGUCAAAAAUAAAAAUAUGACCAAAGGCGGUUGUUUAUGCAAAGUCAGCCUUCCGGCAUUUGGCUACUUUCGAUAAAAAAGGCGUCACCUGGUUUAUUUAUGACAAAAAUUUUUUGGGCUGUUUUUGUAAAUGGGAAGUUAGACCCGAUGAGGGUUGCCUACGUAUCCCACGCCAUGUGAGAAUCAAACCAUGCGUAGUUCGGGCAAAUAAACUAUAUUUUUUUGAAAAAAAGACUCUCCUUUUUUUCGUUUUCCAUGGCAAGACAAACUAUUUUUUCUUUUUCUAUUUUUGACGACUCUCUUUUUUCUUUUUAUUUUCAACAAACAAUAAAACGACCUUUUUUCACAAACCAAAAUAAAGACUCUUUUCUUUAUCUUUUUUUUUGAAAACCAACUCUCCAAAAAUAAAACAAAAACUCUUUUUUCUAUUUUUCUUUUUCUUUUUAGUAAAACAAACUAAUAAAAAUAAAACCUUUUUUAUUCAUUUUCUUAAUAUUUCGGCAGAGUUUCGAUGGUAUUUGGGCAUUGGGUUUUUUUCAAGAUUAACUCUACAACUGCUAAUUCUCUCAUUUUUUUUGUUUUUUCUCAAAUUCCGACAUUCCAAGAUCCAAAACCGGUCAACAUGUAGGUUCGAACAAAUUAAUGCACAGAACAAGUAGGAUGCACCUGGAUGGUCUUUUCAUUUUAGAUUGCUAGCCCUAGACGGACCCAACCCCUGUGUUGAGUUCCCUAAGUCAAAUGCAGCAUGAUGCAAAUAAGCGUUCCUACUAGGGAUCCGGUAUGAAGUCAAGCUAUUCUAUGUUCAAAACCUGGGUAGGUGUUCUAGACAGUGUACCCGAGCGGACAACUCGGGUCGAGGAGGGAGCAACGUACCGGUGACCCGCGGGAUCGUCCGGCUUUGUAACCUAUCCGAGCCUCUUUUUAUUUCAGAGUAUGACACUAACAGAAUAGGGAGUCUCAACCAAUAAGCACAUCCCUGGAGGUGAAGAGAGAAGCGUAUCAGCACAGUUUAUAUACAGUUCAGAUAAUAUCAAAGCGGUAACUUUUAGCACACUAAGCACAAAACAUGUUGGAAAAUAAGAUAUGACAAAAUACAACAAUUUAUCUAAGAUCAAAUUCUGAACCCUGAACAAAAUGUUCUGGGUCCUUGUCCCCAGCAGAGUCGCCAGAGCUGUCACACCUUCGACUUUGUAACUUAUCCGAGCCUCUUUUUAUUUUAGGGUAGUACACUAACAGAAUUGGGAGUCUCAACCAGUAAGCACAUCCCCGGAGGUGAAGAGAGAAGGGUGUCGGUACAGUUUAUAUAUAUUUCAGAUAAUAUCAAAGAGGUAACAAUUAGCACAUUAAGCAUGAAACAUGUAGGAAAAUCAGAUACAACCAAAUACAACAAUUUAUCUAAGCUCGAAUUCUGAACCCUGAACAAAACAUUUUGGGUUCUUAUCCCCAGCAGAGUUGCCAGAGCUGUCACACCUCCUUUUUCGCUAUACACCCCCGCAAAGGAGGCGCAAAGGACCUUUUCCAAUUAAAGGACAAUCAGAAUGGGAUUUGGUUAUUAAUUAUUUCAUAGUCCCCACUUGGGAGAUUAAUGGUGUCCCAAGUCACCGAUUGAAUCCCGAACCAAGGAAAAAGAUGACUCUUUUCACAGUCCAUGGACCAGAAAUCCGGAUAAGGAAUUCUGUUAACUCGGGAGAAGGUGUUAAGAAUUUCCGAGUUUCGUGGUUCUAGCACGGUCGCUCAAUUGUUGCAUUUAGCUUUCAUCCGAUUUUACUACAUGCCAACUUAUGUGCUUUAUAUUUAUUAACCGCUUUUGCCAUUAUUGAUUUUAAAAGACUUGCGACGUCGUGAAAACGCGUUUCUGACCAUGUCGCCAUCAAGGCACCCGUGUUCGUCAACACAUUUCGACUUCGUCGACAUUUGGAUUUGGGUCGCAUCAAUGCGCACCCGAGUUUAAGGAAGUAAUUUAAUUAAAUUGCGCUUAAAGGUUCUAACAUAAUAUUAUUUGGGAAAGGCCAUUGAAAUUUACUAAAUGGUCCUUCCAAAUUCUAAGUAAUCUAAUAACUAUUAACGAGGGCCCCGCAAUGUAUAAUUUUAUUUGGCGAGGCAUAUUUUAUUUUUUUAGAAGGACAAACCUAAAAGCAACUAUAUUUUCUAUUUUUGUUAUGUCUCUAUGAGAAAAGAAAAGGUCCUAAUUAAUUAUUAUGACUUAGGAGCUACUAUACUUUGGUUCAUGCACUCACGUAAAUUUGGCCUUAAUCUACUUGAACCAACAAGGGGUACAAAAGCCCAUCAGUGGCCAACAGCGAACUCAACCAUGAGAUUGGCUUAAUCGUGAAGCCCAAAUUCAAGGCUGAUGGAUAAAGUUGCUUUACUGGGCCAACACUGUCAGCCCAAAUGAGUUUUAUUUUAGCAAUGCCGGGAACCACUUUCCUUGUGAGAGGUAUCUGGGGCCCACAUAAAAUUUGAAGCAAGGAUUCAACUCUUGAUUGAUCUCAAUUCACGCACAGAGGGUCUAUCAUUUUAACAUUGCAAUUGCACUAGCUAUAAUUCCUGCUUGCCUUAAUUCGAAUAUUGUUUUCUUUUUAACACAAAUUCAAAAGUCUACAUAGAAUCCAACUAAGUGUGAAAGCAUCAUAUUUCAGAAUAAGCUUUUAGUUUCAAUGUUUUAAGAAAAAGACUUUGAAUCUUCACAGUGUGUACACAUGAACAUGAAAACAAAUACAAAUCAUAACUUCUAAGCCUGGUGGCCUUUAUUUCAAAUUGUUGCAUCAACAGAUUUGAGUACAGGAUUAAAGAAAGGCUAGCUCAAAUCAAAAUCGCUAUUCUAACGCAAAGGUAUCCUAGAACAAACAGUAUGCAACCAUAGCUAGCUUCUUAAUCAGUGCAAAUUUCAGUUCCUACAUACUACAACCAAUCUGGAAUAAUUGCCAUGAAUCAACUACACUCAAACCUACAACUCAUAUCUAGCCUUAAUAUCGAGCAGGCAUACAUGUUAAGACAAACAACAUCAUAAAAACUUAACUAGAGAAGUUCAAAUUUAAGAUACAAGACACCAAUGAAAUGCAGAACCACUACUUCAUUAAUUUAUUUACAUGGUUUCACAUAUAGCUCAAUCGAGCUCCAUUUUCAUUCGAGUUUGAAGGAAUACCUGGGAACAGAGAAGAAACAAAAGGAAGUGAGAUUCAACCAGCUCAACAGCAGCAAUGGUAGGAAAUAAGCCUCAAAUUCGAGCAGCCCAGUAUCAAACCCAGUUCAGAUUCGUAUUGAAGUGACAAUCCUGGUACCAAAAUUAGCUCAAAACCAAAUUUGAAAUGCGCAAGCAAACCAUACUAAGCCAUUUCCUAACCCAAAUAAUUAAAAUGUUUUUCCUAGAGAUUGAAUGAUAACCCGAUAGCCACAGUGACCAAUGCAAUAGUAGAAGUGUAGCCACUUGAUUUUCCAGAUUUUUAGAUCUCUCUUUUUUGGAUUUUUCUUUUUGUCUUUUUAGCUAAAACGAGAGAGAGUUUUUUUUUUGAAUUUCAGCAUUGUCGAUCUUCUCUCCUCUCCUUUUCUAAAGUAGAAGCCUGCUUUUAUAACCAGCUUAGUAAGGCUAUCCCCUUCCCUAGAUAAAACCUCUAAUUUCCCCCCAAUUCCUCACAUGUGACCUCCCCUUAUCUACUAGAACCUUCUCAGUUAGUUAUCCAAAGAUUCCCUAUCUAGAGUCCCUAAAAUACCC